AACGCAAAUUGCGCUCCUUGGUAUUCCGAGGAGCAUGCCUGUUUGAGUGUCAUGAAAUCAUCCACCUCACCUUUGGGCCUUUGUCCUCGGGUCCGGCUGGGACUUGGGUGCUUGCGCGUCGGAGAGACCCGCUCACCUGAAAGAUAUUCAUACUUGAUCCUGUCCGCUGACCGGUUUGACUUGGUGUUAUAAAUUAUUUCGCUGAGGACACUCGCAUGGGUGGCCGUUCGGUAGCUUGGUCUUGCCCUAAAGUGCGCCACACGUAGACGGGGCUACAACUUCUUGACAUCUGGCCUCAAAUCAGGUAGGACUACCCGCUGAACUUAA
rnacentral:misc_RNA from 1 species